rnacentral:rRNA from 1 species
GAGCGGAAACGACACUAACAAUCCUUCCUUGCGUUAGUGGGCGUCGAGCGGCGGACGGGUGUAGUAAUGCCUAGGAAAUUGCCUUGAUGUGAGGGGAUAACCAUUGGAAACGAUGGCUAAUACCGCAUAAUGCCUACGGGCCAAAGAGGGGGAUCUUCGGACCUCUCGCGUCAAGAUAUGCCUAGGUGGGAUUAGCUAGUUGGUGAGGUAAUGGCUCACCAAGGCGACGAUCCCUAGCUGGUCUGAGAGGAUGAUCAGCCACACUGGAACUGAGACACGGUCCAGACUCCUACGGGAGGCAGCAGUGGGGAAUAUUGCACAAUGGGCGAAAGCCUGAUGCAGCCAUGCCGCGUGUAUGAAGAAGGCCUUCGGGUUGUAAAGUACUUUCAGUUGUGAGGAAGGGGGUAACGUUAAUANCNUUAUCUCUUGACGUUAGCAACAGAAGAAGCACCGGCUAACUCCGUGCCAGCAGCCGCGGUAAUACGGAGGGUGCGAGCGUUAAUCGGAAUUACUGGGCGUAAAGCGCAUGCAGGUGGUUCAUUAAGUCAGAUGUG